rnacentral:tRNA from 1 species
GCAAUAGUGGUUCAGUGGUAGAAUUUUUACCUUCCAUGUGGGAGACCUAGGUUUAAUUCCCAGCCAGUACU